GUGGCGCACGGGUGAGUAACACGUGGGUAACCUUCCCUCGAGCGGGGGGAUAACGUUCCGAAAGGAACGCUAAUACCGCAUAAGACCACGGGCUCGAAAGAGCCUGGGGUAAAAGUAGGCCUCUGAAUUCACGCUUACACUCGAGGAUGGGCCCGCGGCCCAUCAUGGUAGUUGGUAGGGUAACGGCCUACCAAGCCGAAGACGGGUAGCUGGUCUUAGAGGAUGAUCAGCCACACUGGAACUGAGACACGGUCCAGACUCCUACGGGAGGCAGCAGUGGGGAAGCUUCAGGCAAUAGUUGACCGUACCCAAAACCGACACAGGUGGUCAGGUAGAGGAUACCAAGGCGCUUGAGAGAACUCGGGUGAAGGAACUAGGCAAAUUGGCACCGUAACUUCGGGAGAAGGUGCGCUCUUGUGGGUGAAGUUUUACAACGUAAGCCUAUGAGAGUCUCAGUAACUGGCCGCUGCGACUGUUAUUAAAAACACAGCACUCUGCAAACACGAAAGUGGACGUAUAGGGUGUGACG
rnacentral:rRNA from 1 species